AUUGAACGCUGGCGGCAUGCCUUACACAUGCAAGUCGAACGGUAACAGGUUAAGCUGACGAGUGGCGAACGGGUGAGUAAUGUAUCGGAACGUGCCCAGUCGUGGGGGAUAACUGCUCGAAAGAGCAGCUAAUACCGCAUACGACCUGAGGGUGAAAGCGGGGGAUCGCAAGACCUCGCGCGAUUGGAGCUGCCGAUAUCAGAUUAGGUAGUUGGUGAGGUAAAGGCUCACCAAGCCGACGAUCUGUAGCUGGUCUGAGAGGACGACCAGCCACACUGGGACUGAGACACGGCCCAGACUCCUACGGGAGGCAGCAGUGGGGAAUUUUGGACAAUGGGCGCAAGCCUGAUCCAGCCAUGCCGCGUGCGGGAAGAAGGCCUUCGGGUUGUAAACCGCUUUUGUCAGGGAAGAAAAGGUUCUGGCUAAUACCUGGGACUCAUGACGGUACCUGAAGAAUAAGCACCGGCUAACUACGUG
rnacentral:rRNA from 1 species